CUGAAAAGGAUGCGUGAAUUAGUAUACUUUAUACAUGGUGUCCCGGUGAUCAUGGUAAAAUUGGCAAAGGAUUGGUUCUACGCGAAAAAAUAAAUCAGAAAUAUAGGAUACAAUCUUUUUAUGCGAUGCUCCGUUUUUGUAGAAAAUCGAAUUCCAAAAUUAUAGAUUGUAGAUUUUCAUGCAAAUUGAUAUUUUUAUAAAUCGGCAUGAUAGUUGCCACGGGGGUCAUCGGUGACCUACAAUUUUCUAAGAAUAAUUAAAUUAAGAUAAAUUUCAUAGACCAAGAAAUAUAAUAUGUUGCAUCAAAUAUAGGUUUACGCAAAUUGGUAUUUUUACAAAUUGAACAAGUGGAAUCUAAGCAGAAAUUUCCUUCGUCCACUGAAUAUUGUAAUAUGUACUAUAAUUUGUAUACGUACUUUGUAUAUUUUUUCAUGUUAUGCGCAUUUUCUAUAUUUGUGCAAUGUUAAAUUUCCUAUGCGAAUACAUAAACUUGCAUUUAAACCGUAACUUAUUCAUAAUAUAGCCGCGGGGUUGAUCUAGAUAUCGAUUAGAUUCAAUUGCGCGCGAAUUUUAUUUUUCAUACUUGCAAAUCCGAUAUAGUACAUGAAAAUUUUAUUGUCUGUAUAAUUAGAUGAUUCAUUUAUCUAUUUGAUUAAGUCAAUUUGAAGCGAAAUUGAUCAAUUGCGGCAAAUUAUUAAAGAACGUUUUAAUUUUAUCAGUAUGAAUUUAGAUUACUAUUUAACUUUUCAGAGAUGGAACGUAGAAAUUUUACUUUCCAUACUUUCAAAAGCGAUUUAGUGUGUAAAAUAUUUUAAUGUCUUUUUUAGCAGAUGAUCUAUUUAUUUAAUUAAGUUAAUCAGAAGCAAAAUUGAUCAAUUCCAACGAAUUUUUAUCAAUAUACAUUUAUGAUAUAUACAUUUGCAUUUAAGGUUUCAAAGACGGAAUACAGGUACCCUCGUAUAACACGAUAUAGUUACAUUCGAAAAAUAUGUCGAGUUAUGCGAAUCCGUAUUAUCGUAGAGAUCUUAAUGUAUCUGAAUGAAAAUUAACAAAAGUAUACUAUUCUCUGUUUACAACUAAGAGAAAUACCUUAAGAGAAUUACGUAUUACGUAUAUUACGUAAGCGAGGGCAAUUUCCUUUCUGGCAAAAUAACCUCAUCUUCUAAUUUUCGUUCACUUAUGUACGAUUUCCAUUUAUGUUUGUUGUAAAAAAUGUGAUCGAUGUUUCAUCAGAAAAGCUCCGAAU